AAUGGAUUCAUCAAAGAUAUAAUUAGUCGUAUGAAUACAGAUACAUAUGCAUUUUCUGAAGAAGAAGAAGAAGAAGAAGAAGAAGAAGAAAGAGAAGAAAAGAUACCCGGUGCUUGCACUCCAUUGGUGUUUCCGUGAAGGCAGGGGCACAAGGACUCGACUCAUUGGUUGACUGGAAUAUUGGAAAUAGUUGGAGUAACUGUCAAAAUGGCUACGGUACUUGCCGCAAAAAAGAGAAACAUGGCUACGGUAAGGGGGAGACUGAUCGAUCACUCAAUUUAGAAAUUAUAUGCGCCUCUCUAGCCAGUAUUUUUGAACAUGGCUACGGAAAGAGAAACUGGGUAUCCCAAGGUUCGUGCCUCUCUGGCCAGUAUUUUUUUGAUUUUUUUGGACAAUGAUUUAAUUUUAAGUUAUUAAAUUACUUGUAUAUGUUGAGAAAUUAUUCACAUUUAUGGUUACCCAGAUUUCAUUUGAUUUUGUGGCUAGCCUCUCUAGCUGUAGGCCCACCGCAUCUUCUGGAUGGCUAUGAGUGAGAGAAUCCAUUCUGUGGAUUUGUCUCAAGGAAAUUUGCGGAAGAUCGGAGAUCACAUCAACAUCGAGCACAAGUGACUAGAUGAGUUCUAAAUGAACUUUACCAUGAGGAGAUCACAUCGACAUCAAGCAAAAGUGACUAGAUGAGUUCUUCAUAAACUUUACCCUGAGGAGAUCAAGAUCUUUCGCCCACCUCUAACAGUGCCGGCAAUGAAGCCAACUACAAGGAAGAAGAAGUACGACACUAGGAUUGCUAUUGGUAUGCUGCUCCUCUCAACAAGGGUAGCAUCAGCAGCUUCCGGUCGUGGUGGUUGCUUGCCGGCAGCUUCACCCUGAUGCAGUGAUAUGAGCGGGUCGCCGAGGAAGGACUGCUCGUCGAAGGUGCCGAACUGGCCGGUGGUGGAGACAUUGCCAGAGAGGAGUGGGUUGUAUGACCAACUGCGUGAGCUUGAACAGGCUUGCCGGGAGCUCGUCGGAGAGGUUGUUGAAUGACAAAUCCAUCCUCUCCAGAGACAGAAUCUCGCCAAUCUCGGACGGAAUCGGCCCGGAGAUGUUGUUCCUUGAGACAUUCAGCAUGACGAGCGGGAGGCGGCCGAUCUCUGGUGGCAGCUGCCCCGUGAGACGGUUGCCAUCGAGGAGGAGCAAGCUGAGAUUCCGCAUUGCGCCGAUCCACGACAGUAUCUCACCGGAAAGCAUGUUCCUUGACAGCUGCACGUACCCAGGAACCGUGUUCGGCCCCGCCGGUGACCAAGGCCGAAUUGGGACGAUACCGUUGCCCUUGAGGAUGCGGUCCCAUAUGCUGUGACAGCUCUCACGAGUCAUGACGGGUAGAUGAAGCUGAAUGGAGGAUAGCUUGCUGGGAUCCACCGUUUCAUGGCCUGGCACUCGCCGGAGCUGGCGAGCACGCUCGAAUCCAUUCCGGUUCUUCGAGAAGGUUGGACGCCAGUCAAGCGGUUGUCGGCCAGGUUCAGCCAGAGCAAGCUGGUGCAGUUGCCGAUUUCAGGCGGUAUCUCACCGGAGAGCUGGUUCCCUGCGAGCAUUAACCAGAGGAGUGACGUGAGAUUCCUGAUGCUCGUGGGGAUUCCUCCUGAGAGUGUGUUAUUAGAGAGGUCCAGCGCCUGGAGCUCGGCGAGCCGGUUGUACGCUAGAGGUAUCCUGCCAGAGAAGUUGUACUCGAUGAGAGGUGAACCAAGCAAGGAAAGAUCGAAGGCUGUACAUGUGGUGCAAAGACGAACGGACUAGUGUGCAUGGCCGCCCGUCACUGUGUUCCUUGACUCUCGGCUACACCUUUCAAUUAUCACACAAAGCGGAAUAGUAAUAGCCUAACUGGAUGAGAGGGAAACACAGACUUGGCUGACACGCCAAGGCUUGUUGUAAUGCUUGUGUGUU